rnacentral:rRNA from 1 species
AGCCAGACUCCUACGGGAGGCAGCAGUGAGGAAUAUUGGUCAAUGGUCGGGAGACUGAACCAGCCAAGCCGCGUGAGGGAUGAAGGUACAGAGUAUCGUAAACCUCUUUUGUCAGGGAACAAAGGCGGGGACGUGUCCCCGGAUGAGUGUACCUGAAGAAAAAGCAUCGGCUAACUCCGUGCCAGCAGCCGCGGUAAUACGUAGGGAGCAAGCGUUAUCCGGAUUUACUGGGUGUAAAGGGCGUGUAGGCGGGCCUGUAAGUCAGAAGUGAAAUCUGGGGGCUUAACCCCCAAACUGCUCUUGAAACUGCGGGUCUUGAGUGAUGGAGAGGCAGGCGGAAUUCCCAGUGUAGCGGUGAAAUGCGUAGAUAUUGGGAGGAACACCAGUGGCGAAGGCGGCCUGCUGGACAUUAACUGACGCUGAGGCGCGAAAGCGUGGGGAGCAAACAGGAUUAGAUACCCCUGUA